rnacentral:rRNA from 1 species
GACAGAGGUCCCAAGCGUUAGGCGGAAUCACUGGGCUUAAAGCGUGUGUAGGCGGAUUUGUAAGUACCUUGUGAAAUCCCACGGCUCAACCGUGGAACUGCUUGGUAUACUGCUUAUCUUGGGUCGUCUAGGGGCGAGCGGAACAAACGGUGGAGCGGUGAAAUGCGUAGAUAUCGUUUGGAACGCCAAUGGUGAAAACAGCUCGCUGGGGACGUACCGACGCUGAGACGCGAAAGCGUGGGGAGCAAACAGG